AAAAUUUUAAAGAACAUUUAACUUAUAUAUAUACUAUGUAGUUGAUGAUAUUAACUAGAUGCAUACUGGACUCGGGGGCGGUACCCGACAGCUCCACCAUAAGGAUACUAAAUAAUGGACUUUCAUUGGAUAAGUUGGACUAAAGGAGAACCCUUUCAAUGGGGAGAUUUUAGAUACAAUAGCGGUAAUCCAUAUAAAAAUUACCGUAUUGGUCCAUUACUUAUUCGUGUCUUUUUGAUGGGGCUGAAAUAGGAUCGACAGAUGUUGACGGAAACAUGGAGACUAUCCCGAUCUAAGCUGGGUUAACGCGAAGAACUUUACAAGUGCAAACAAUAAUUGUGCUCCAUCUGGUUACGUUGCAAUAGCAGC
rnacentral:tmRNA from 1 species